UAAAAACUCUGAGCGGUGGAUCACUCGGCUCGUGUGUCGAUGAAGAGCGCAGCCAGCUGUGUGAAUUAAUGUGAAUUGCAGGACGCUUUGAACAUCGACUUCUUGAACGCACAUUGCGGCUACGAUUUCUGUCGUGGCCACGCCUGUCAGAGGGUCGGCUU
rnacentral:rRNA from 1 species